UACGGGGGGGGGCAAGCGUUGUUCGGAAUUACUGGGCUUAACGAGUUCGUAGGCGGCAUUGCAAGUAGGGUGUGAAAGCCCUCGGCUCAACCGAGGAAUUGCGCUCUAAACUGCAGUGCUCGAGGAAGCUAGAGGUGAGCAGAACAGAUGGUGGAGCGGUGAAAUGCGUUGAUAUCAUCUGGAAUACCGGAGGCGAAGGCGGCUCACUGGGGCUUUUCUGACGCUGAGGAACGAAAGCUAGGGGAGCGAACGGG
rnacentral:rRNA from 1 species